rnacentral:rRNA from 1 species
AUACGGAGGGUGCAAGCGUUACUCGGAAUCACUGGGCGUAAAGCGCAUGCAGGCGGCCGGAUAAGUUGGAAGUGAAAGCCUACGGCUCAACCGUAGAACUGCUUCCAAAACUGUCUGGCUAGAGUCUGGGAGGGGAAGAUGGAAUUAGUAGUGUAGGGGUAAAAUCCGUAGAGAUUACUAGGAAUACCAAAAGCGAAGGCGAUCUUCUGGAACAGUACUGACGCUGAGAUGCGAAAGCGUGGGGAGCAAACAGGAUUAGAAACCCUAGUAGUCC